rnacentral:tRNA from 1 species
UGUAAAUUAGUGUAUGAAGCACAUAAAAUUUUGAUUUUUAUAGAAAAGUUUAAUUCUUUAUUUACAG